rnacentral:rRNA from 1 species
UAACCUCGCGGGAGGAUCAUUG